AUAACACCAUCCCAGAGAAGGAACGGACUGGGAAGUUUGAGAUUACAUCUGAGUAAAAUGAAAGUUCUCCUUCUGCUCACAGCCAUCUUGGCAAUAACCAUUGGUUUCCCGGUCUCUCAAGACAAGGAAAGAGAAUCACGAAGUGUAAG